UCUGGGUGUUUCUCGGUUGGU
rnacentral:piRNA from 1 species